AACAACACAAGGAAAUAGGGGGAUGAAAAUGUUGGCAAAAUCUUCGUUAGUGAGUUUGUGGUUUCUAUGUUUGGUAGCUUACAUUUAAGCAUGCCAACUAGCAAUUUUAGAUAUUAUUGGCUUUUACUUGGUGGGGAAUUUUCUUUUGCCAUGAAUUUUUGAGUUGAACCUUGUGGAUACACUCCUUGACCUAGAGAAUUUGAUCACUUCAGCUCUGAAAAAGGUCUUGUCAUCUGGGUAUCUAUUACGCAUUUGUGCUGCUGACAAAGAAUGCAUUAAUUUUCUCUGUGAUUCUGUAGACUUUGGGAGCAUGGAUGACAUUUCUGAAGUUUCUGGUGGAAAGGAUGGAAAUGAUUCUGAGUAUGAGCUUUUGGUUUGCAGUCCAUCCAAAAUUGAGUCUUAGGUGGCUCCUUCCAGCCUGGAGAGUUCAAGGGAUGAAGGUGGAUUCCUACUUGGAAGUCUCUUCCAAACAGUGAUAAGUCAGUAUUGGGAGUUCUCGGAAAAGUGACUUGCCUUGUUUCUCAUAAUUGGAAUGACGUCUGAAAAAUAGAUGCCUCUUGUGGUAUACACUAUGCUGUUCCGUGCUUGUACUCAGCUUGAAGUUCUUCGAUUGUACCACUUUCUGACAAGGCCUCGUAGCCACAUAAUAAGAUUUGACGGGGAAUGAAAACAGUUGUUGAUUUUACCACUUUAUGAUGACGGCCUUGUAUCACAUAAUAAGACAUGACAGGGAAUGAAAACAGUUGCUGAACUGAGGAGGGUAACCUUCCAAUGCCGAUCAACACGGAUUCACUUUACACGCCUAUUGACAAGAAGCCAACGAAGUUCAAUCCAUUGGUCACAAUACUUAAAUUUAUGUGAUGCGCUUUUGAUUGAUAAUUUUUUUAUUGGUGAUUUUAUAAUGUUUAUUCUUUAAUAUGCUUUUUAUUGGUGUGAACAUUAAA